UUCUCAGAACGUGGGCUUAGUCACAAGACAGCUGUAUCCUGGUCCUAAUAUUAUAACACCUCGGAGCCAAAACAGCCACGUUCCACAAAAUCCGGCUCUUCCAUUUAGCGAAAAGACUCGCUGCCCUCAUUUUUCUCUUCCGGAAACCGUGGAGGCUAGGAAGUAAGACAGCAUGUGUCUGGGGAAGGUCUUGGCACUCCAAAUGAACAAGUAGUUGUACUCACCCACUUCAUCAGCCUUUUUGUUUCAAGACAGUACCUUGCUGGAUUGGAAGUGCUUCUGAAGAUGAGGAAGAGUAUAUGAAAAAGUUGGGCUGAUCCUGUGGAAAACAAUUGGGAGACUCAUUCAAUCAGCGUUCUCAGCACCCAGCAAGCAACUCACUGACUACCACUGUUGGAUUGAUUGAUUGAAACCUCCAGAUUUUCCUCAACAAGCUGUGAAGGUUUGGCCUCGAUCAUGCAGCCAUUAGGAUGGACACUGCCCGGCUCAAAGUUUUCAGAUAUCUGCUCAAGUGGUAUCCUAUGGGGAUCUGCUCAGGGGCCAGUCUUACUCAAAAUCUUCGUCGAUGACCUGGGCAGUGGAAUGAAGGGGAUGUUUAUCAAGUGUGUUCUUAACGUAAAUUCUAGAAGGAAGAUGAUUUUGGUUUGGCCUAGGGAGGCUCUUCUUGACUGUUAGGGUGAUAGCAUAUUGGAAUAGAGCUGCCGAAUGGAACAAAGAUACUAUUAAAGAAGAAUAUUCCAACUUCAGUU